rnacentral:rRNA from 1 species
AUUGAACGCUGGCGGCAGGCCUAACACAUGCAAGUCGAGCGGUUGACGGGAGCUUGCUCCCUGAUUCAGCGGCGGACGGGUGAGUAAUGCCUAGGAAUCUGCCUAUUAGUGGGGGACAACGUUUCGAAAGGAACGCUAAUACCGCAUACGUCCUACGGGAGAAAGCAGGGGACCUUCGGGCCUUGCGCUAAUAGAUGAGCCUAGGUCGGAUUAGCUUGUUGGUGAGGUAAUGGCUCACCAAGGCGACGAUCCGUAACUGGUCUGAGAGGAUGAUCAGUCACCCUGGAACUGAGACACGGUCCCGACUCCGACGGGAGGCAGCAGUGGGGAAUAUUGGAAAAUGGGCGAAAGCCUGAUCCAGCCAUGCCGCGUGUGUGAAGAAGGUCUUCUGAUUGUAAAGCACUUUAAGUUGGGAGGAAGGGUUGUAGAUUAAUACUCUGCAAUUUUGACGUUACCGACAGAAUAAGCACCGGCUAACUCCGUGCCAGCCGCCGCCGUAA